rnacentral:rRNA from 1 species
UACGUAGGUGGCAAGCGUUGUCCGGAUUUAUUGGGUUUAAAGGGUGCGUAGGCGGCCUUGUAAGUCAGUGGUGAAAUACUCCAGCUCAACUGGAGGGGUGCCAAUGAUACUGCAGGGCUUGAGUACAGAUGAGGUAGGCGGAAUUGACGGUGUAGCGGUGAAAUGCAUAGAUAUCGUCAAGAACACCGAUAGCGAAGGCAGCUUACUGGGCUGUAACUGACGCUGAGGAGCGAAAGCGUGGGGAGCGAACAGG